GGUUAAGCGACUAAGCGUACACGGUGGAUGCCCUGGCAGUCAGAGGCGAUGAAGGGCGUGCUAAUCUGCGAUAAGCGCCGGUAAGGUGAUAUGAACCGUUAUAACCGGCGAUACCCGAAUGGGGAAACCCAGUGUGAUUCGUCACACUAUCAUUAACUGAAUCCAUAGGUUAAUGAGGCGAACCGGGGGAACUGAAACAUCUAAGUACCCCGAGGAAAAGAAAUCAACCGAGAUUCCCCCAGUAGCGGCGAGCGAACGGGGAGGAGCCCAGAGCCUGAAUCAGCAUGUGUGUUAGUGGAAGCGUCUGGAAAGGUGCGCGAUACAGGGUGACAGCCCCGUACACAAAAGCGCAUGUGCUGUGAGCUCGAUGAGUAGGGCGGGACACGUGGUAUCCUGUCUGAAUAUGGGGGGACCAUCCUCCAAGGCUAAAUACUCCUGACUGACCGAUAGUGAACCAGUACCGUGAGGGAAAGGCGAAAAGAACCCCGGCGAGGGGAGUGAAAAAGAACCUGAAACCGUGUACGUACAAGCAGUGGGAGCACAGGUUUACCUGUGUGACUGCGUACCUUUUGUAUAAUGGGUCAGCGACUUAUAUUCUGUAGCAAGGUUAACCGUAUAGGGGAGCCGUAGGGAAACCGAGUCUUAACCGGGCGUUAAGUUGCAGGGUAUAGACCCGAAACCCGGUGAUCUAGCCAUGGGCAGGUUGAAGGUUGGGUAACACUAACUGGAGGACCGAACCGACUAAUGUUGAAAAAUUAGCGGAUGACCUGUGGCUGGGGGUGAAAGGCCAAUCAAACCGGGAGAUAGCUGGUUCUCCCCGAAAGCUAUUUAGGUAGCGCCUCGUGAAUUCAUCUCCGGGGGUAGAGCACUGUUUCGGCUAGGGGGCCAUCCCGGCUUACCAACCCGAUGCAAACUGCGAAUACCGGAGAAUGUUAUCACGGGAGACACACGGCGGGUGCUAACGUCCGUCGUGAAGAGGGAAACAACCCAGACCGCCAGCUAAGGUCCCAAAGUCAUGGUUAAGUGGGAAACGAUGUGGGAAGGCCCAGACAGCCAGGAUGUUGGCUUAGAAGCAGCCAUCAUUUAAAGAAAGCGUAAUAGCUCACUGGUCGAGUCGGCCUGCGCGGAAGAUGUAACGGGGCUAAACCAUGCACCGAAGCUGCGGCAGCGAACGUAUCACCCAAGACAACUUUACGGAGUUGACGAUUGACGGAGCGAAGCGACGUCAAAGCGUUCAUUAAAGUCGAGUUGGCUUAGGGAUACGUUCGUUGGGUAGGGGAGCGUUCUGUAAGCCUGUGAAGGUGUGUCGUGAGGCAUGCUGGAGGUAUCAGAAGUGCGAAUGCUGACAUAAGUAACGAUAAAGCGGGUGAAAAGCCCGCUCGCCGGAAGACCAAGGGUUCCUGUCCAACGUUAAUCGGGGCAGGGUGAGUCGACCCCUAAGGCGAGGCCGAAAGGCGUAGUCGAUGGGAAACGGGUUAAUAUUCCCGUACUUGGUGUUACUGCGAAGGGGGGACGGAGAAGGCUAUGUUGGCCGGGCGACGGUUGUCCCGGUUUAAGCGUGUAGGUGUGUGUUCCAGGUAAAUCCGGUUCACUUUAACACUGAGGCGUGACGACGAGGCACUACGGUGCUGAAGCAACAAAUGCCCUGCUUCCAGGAAAAGCCUCUAAGCAUCAGGUAACACGAAAUCGUACCCCAAACCGACACAGGUGGUCAGGUAGAGAAUACCAAGGCGCUUGAGAGAACUCGGGUGAAGGAACUAGGCAAAAUGGUGCCGUAACUUCGGGAGAAGGCACGCUGACACGUAGGUGAAGUGAUUUACUCAUGGAGCUGAAGUCAGUCGAAGAUACCAGCUGGCUGCAACUGUUUAUUAAAAACACAGCACUGUGCAAACACGAAAGUGGACGUAUACGGUGUGACGCCUGCCCGGUGCCGGAAGGUUAAUUGAUGGGGUCAGCGUAAGCGAAGCUCCUGAUCGAAGCCCCGGUAAACGGCGGCCGUAACUAUAACGGUCCUAAGGUAGCGAAAUUCCUUGUCGGGUAAGUUCCGACCUGCACGAAUGGCGUAAUGAUGGCCAGGCUGUCUCCACCCGAGACUCAGUGAAAUUGAACUCGCUGUGAAGAUGCAGUGUACCCGCGGCAAGACGGAAAGACCCCGUGAACCUUUACUAUAGCUUGACACUGAACAUUGAGCCUUGAUGUGUAGGAUAGGUGGGAGGCUUUGAAGUGUGGACGCCAGUCUGCAUGGAGCCGACCUUGAAAUACCACCCUUUAAUGUUUGAUGUUCUAACGUGGACCCGUAAUCCGGGUUGCGGACAGUGUCUGGUGGGUAGUUUGACUGGGGCGGUCUCCUCCUAAAGAGUAACGGAGGAGCACGAAGGUUGGCUAAUCCUGGUCGGACAUCAGGAGGUUAGUGCAAUGGCAUAAGCCAGCUUGACUGCGAGCGUGACGGCGCGAGCAGGUGCGAAAGCAGGUCAUAGUGAUCCGGUGGUUCUGAAUGGAAGGGCCAUCGCUCAACGGAUAAAAGGUACUCCGGGGAUAACAGGCUGAUACCGCCCAAGAGUUCAUAUCGACGGCGGUGUUUGGCACCUCGAUGUCGGCUCAUCACAUCCUGGGGCUGAAGUAGGUCCCAAGGGUAUGGCUGUUCGCCAUUUAAAGUGGUACGCGAGCUGGGUUUAGAACGUCGUGAGACAGUUCGGUCCCUAUCUGCCGUGGGCGCUGGAGAACUGAGGGGGGCUGCUCCUAGUACGAGAGGACCGGAGUGGACGCAUCACUGGUGUUCGGGUUGUCAUGCCAAUGGCACUGCCCGGUAGCUAAAUGCGGAAGAGAUAAGUGCUGAAAGCAUCUAAGCACGAAACUUGCCCCGAGAUGAGUUCUCCCUGAGACUUAGAGUCUCCUGAAGGAACGUUGAAGACGACGACGUUGAUAGGCCGGGUGUGUAAGCGCAGCGAUGCGUUGAGCUAACCGGUACUAAUGAACCGUGAGGCUUAACCUU
rnacentral:rRNA from 6 species